AGUUUAUGCAAAUCUGACAUUUCCAGUUUCUUCUUAUAUGAAUCAAAGUUCAGUGAUUCAAUCUGACAAAGAAGCUGCAGACAGAACAAAGACAAAUGACUCCAACAAUGAUCAGACCUGUUUGUUUGCUGCUUUUUCUCUUUUUCUUUGGUGUCUUACCUGGUAUCAGGGGUCAAACACUGACUGAGUCUGAAUCAGUGGUUAAAAGACCUGGAGAAUCCCACAAACUGACUUGUACAUAUUCAGGGUUUAGUAGUGAUCCUUAUAUAGCUUGGAUCAGACAGGCUGCAGGAAAAGGACUGGAGUGGAUCGCUUGGAUCAACCCUGGCAGCAGCAGCAUCUACUACUCAGAGUCAGUGAAAAACCGCUUCACCAUCUCCAGAGACAACAGCAGAAAGCAGGUGUAUCUGCAGAUGAACAGUCUGAGAGCUGAGGAUUCUGCUGUUUAUUACUGCGCUCGAAGAGACACAGUGACUCAAGAGACACAAACUCUGUACAAAAACACCACACGAAGAUAAUGGCUGUCAUCGGGUUUUUAAAAAUAUGAUUUUAUAGUAGACUGGAUGCAAAAUAUGUGGAAAUUGAUAUUUGCAAAAAAGAGCGUUUAAAGGUGCAAAAUAAUAACAGCUUCAGGGAGAGUUAGGAGGUUUGUUU